UUUAAAGUUCUAAUCACACACACAAAAAUCUUUGUAACGAUGUAUGGACUUACUGUGAUCAAUUUGUAAUGUACACAAAUAUGGAAUUAUUAUGUUCUGCAUCUAAAACUAAUAUAAUGUUAUAUGUCAGUUAUACCUCAAUUUAAAAAAAGAUUCUAAAUACAGAUGAACAAAGGGGAGAGAUACACCAUAUUUUAAGAUUAUAUUGACCUAUUUUCCUUUAUUUAUAGUCAAUGUAAUGUUAUGCAAAAUCCCAGGAGGAUUUUGAGUGGACCUUCACAAACUGAUUCUGCAUUUAGGCAGAAAACUGAAAACCCACAAAUAGCUAAGACAAUUUCAUUAAAAAACGAUAAUGGAGGGAAGGAAUUUCAUCCUAUCAGAUACUAACCAUGUUUGCAAGCUACAGUAAUUUUUUAGUAUAGUACUAAUAACAAACUAAAAAGGUCAGUGAACAGAGAAAGAAGAACCCGGACAAAGGCCCUCUAUCACAAGUUACUAUGUAAAUGUGAUAUAUGUUAGAAGGUUAUCAAUCAGCAGGAAAAGAUAGAUGGUUCAGUAAGUAGCACUGAAUAAGUAGACUCAAUAUAUGGAGAAAAAUGAGUCCCUUUUCCCCCCUUAUGUAAAUUCCGAAUGGAUUAUAGAUCUGAAAAUAAGAAAUAGAUUUGUAAAAUUAAUUGAAGAAAAUUUAUGAAAAUAUUUUUGUGGCCUCAGAGUGGAGAAUUUCUCAAGUUAGAAUCCAGAUGGUGGUGAUGGACAAACAUGAACAAAGAUGAAGCCAGGGUGUCCAGCUGGCUCAGUCAGUAGUGCAUGCAACUCUUGAUCGUGGGAUUGUAAAUUCAAGUCCCAUCUUGGGUGUAGAGAUUACUU